CGACCGUCCAGCGCGCGCAGGCGCAGAAGCCGGAGAAGGUGCCGGGUCGAGUCCCUCCUUCCGGUAUUCAUCCACCUUCUCUCCGGACUCUGGUCGCGGCCGCCCGUGACCGCCUCUCCAACCCCAGUGGGCGGGUGGCAGGACCAUGGAGAACGCUAACGGUGCCAGCCAGAGCGCGGCCGAGGAAUCUCUCCCGGCUGAUGGGCGAGCCGGGAGCACCACUCCGCAGGGAGAACAGGGCCAGCUCCUUUAUCACGAGGAGACCAUCGACCUCGGUGGAGACGAGUUUGGGUCUGAAGAGAACGAGACUAUAUCAGAAGAUUCUAAUCAUUUUGUAGAUAAGCUUAAUGAGCACAUGAUGGAGAGUGUCCUCAUUUCUGACUCUCCUAACAAUAGCGAGGACGACACAGGUGAGCUGGGCUGUUUGCAGGAUGUCGUGGAGCCUGCAGACGGUCACGCUGAUCCCAGACCGGAAAGUCUGGUGGGUGAAGGAGCAGUCGACGCGCUGAGCAAUGACACUGGAAGCGACGGAGACGGGGGAGACCAUGCAUCUAAAGGCGGCUCUGACGCGACCCCCGACCCAGAGCUCGAAGAAGUAAAAGGUGCUCCCGCCUUGGGAGAAGAGGGUGCCGAGGACCCGGGCCCGGAGGGGCGGGGGCACAGCCCGCCUUGCAGGCAGUCCCCUCGUGAGGAGGAGCCCGUGCCCGUGUGCACCAUUUUCAGCCAGUCGUUCGCCCGCUCCCAGCCGCCCCUGCUGCUGCGGGACGGCUUCCAGUCCCAGAUGGUGAAGUCUCCGAGCUGUGGCGGUGCCAGCGACGCGGCGGCCAAGACCCCUCCCCAGGCGGUCCAGCCAAGCCCCAGCCUCAGUAAAUUCUUUGGUGACCCCAGCAACUCUAGUUCCUUGGCCUCGGACUUCUUUGAUUCCUUCACCACGUCCACUUUCAUCUCCGUCAGUAACCCCAACGCGGGCUCUUCCGUUCCCGAGAAACGGUCUUCGCUCUCCACUCCAGUGGGACAGAGAUCCCCGGGUUCCGCUGCGCCCUGUCUCUCCCCAGGGAUUGAAAAGUCAGAGUCCGCCGUUCCCACGGCUUCCCUAGAAAUUCCUCAGUCUCCAAAACCGUUUUCCCAGAUCCAGGCUGUGUUUGCAGGGAGCGAGGACCCCUUUGCCACCGCCCUGAGCAUGAGCGAGAUGGACCGCAGGAGCGAUGCCUGGCUCCCCGGGGAGGGGACCCGGGACAUCUUGAUUUCAGUGGCAACCCAACAGUACAGCACGGUGUUCGUAGACAAGGAGAGCCUCACCAUGCCGGGCCUCAAGUUCGACAACAUCCAGGGGGAUGCAGUUAAAGACCUGAUGCUUCGCUUCCUGGGUGAGAGAGCCGCGGCGAAGAGGCGGGUCUUAAAUGCUGAGUCCGUGGAGCAGACUUUUGUCGGGUUGAAGCAGCUAAUCAGCUGCAGGAACUGGAGGGCGGCGGUCGACCUGUGCGGGCGCCUUCUCACCGCCCACGGCCAAGGCUACGGCAAGAGCGGGCUGCCCACCAGCCACACAGCAGACUCGCUGCAGCUUUGGUUUGUGAGGCUGGCGCUGCUGGUGAAGCUGGGCCUCUUCCAGAACGCCGAAAUGGAGUUCGAGCCCUUUGGAACCCUGGAUCAGCCAGAUCUCUAUUACGAGUACUACCCGCAAGUGUACCCGGGCCGGAGGGGCUCCAUGGUGCCCUUUUCGAUGAGGAUCUUACACGCGGAGCUUCAGCAGUACCUGGGGAACCCGCAGGAGUCACUGGACAGGCUGCACCGAGUGAAGGCCGUCUGCAGCAAGAUCCUGACAAAUCUGGAGCAGGGCUUGGCUGAGGACGGAAGUGUGAACAGCAUCACACCGGAGAACAGACGAGCCUCCGUUCGGCUGUGGCGGUCCCGCCUGGGCCGGGUGAUGUGCUCCAUGGCAAACUGCCUGCUCCUGAUGAAGGAUUACGUGCUGGCUGUGGACGCCUAUCACUCAGUCAUCCAGUAUUACCCCGAGCAGGAGCCCCAGCUACUGAGUGGUAUCGGCCGGAUCUUCCUACAGAUUGGAGACAUAAAAACAGCUGAGAAGUAUUUUCAAGAUGUGGAGAAAGUGACGCAGAAGUUGGACGGACCACAAGGCAAAAUAAUGGUUUUAAUGAACAGAGCCUUCCUUCACCUCGGUCAGAAUAACUUUGCAGAAGCCCACAGGUUCUUCACAGAAAUCCUAAGGAUUGAGCCGACAAAUGCAGUGGCCAACAACAACGCCGCCGUGUGUCUGCUCUACCUGGGCAGACUCAAGGACUCCCUGCGGCAGCUGGAGGCCAUGGUCCAGCAGGACCCCACGCACUACCUGCACGAGAGCGUGCUCUUCAACCUGACCACCAUGUACGAGCUGGAGUCCUCCCGCAGCGCGCAGAAGAAGCAGGCUCUGCUCGAGGCCGUCGCCAGCAAAGAAGGGGACAGCUUCAACACACAGUGCCUCAAGCUGGCGUAGGACGCUCGCCUUCUGGGGCCACGGGGCCCCUGUGCAGCACAUCCGCCAGAGUGGAUACCCUGACCUGACCGUUGGCUCCGAGGACACCCCUUUCCCCAGGGGCGGGUCGUCUUCACCCAGAGCCACGGCUGGGCCCAGACUCGGCGGUUUGUUAGAUGCCAGGCGGCCCAGUGCCCGCGACUCUGCCACGGUUCACGAACGUGGUGUCCGGGAGGCGGGGUCCGUGUGAGGCACCGCGUCCCUUUUAUUCCCGGGAGCUGACCUGCUUCCGCUCUUCAUUCUGACUGUCCGCAGAGGAACGCUGACCAACCACCCAUUCUCUGUAAAUCCUCCAGUCCAGUUUCAGUACCUUGGCCUUGUUAUUUACAUAACUGCAGAAGAAGAGUGUUCACCAUACAGACUUUUAAGUCUGCUUUGCUCAGACUUUCCAUAAGGAAUCUCCCGUGAACUUUGAAAGACUCUCCAGGCUGAGAAGCCACGCUAAGGAGCCAUCAACAGACUUUGCCUGCAAUACAUACAGAUUUGGGUGAAUUCCUCUCUUCUCAAGGUUCCAAACAUUUCCUGAGAUUCUGGGGCCUGCCAAGAAGCGACCUUCCCUCCUCACCGGGUCAGGCCGCCAGGAACCCUGUAAGCAAGGCUCCAUUAAGGUCAGCCUUAAUUCCUGAAAGCCGAUCAUCUCAGAGUCUUUACACCUCCCUCAAAUAAGACCUUGUGGUCAGAGCCUGGUAAUAUAACCAACAUUCCCAAUCAUGUCCUGUUACAAGAACGGAUUCCUAAAUCACUCAUUUGAGUGGCGGUACAGUUGCACAAGAAUACUAAGUUUGCAAAUUCUGGAGGGGCCAAAGAGGGAGAGCAAUGUUCACCUUUGUUCACAAAGCAAUAUCUUAAAUUGCUGAUCCCAUGAGAAAAGAGAAGGCUUUCUUAAGUUUGGAAAAAGGUAAAGAACAGGCGGUGUUUCAAAGCAGAAGUCGUAAAAUUAUGGUUCUGAAUCCAUUCGGUUCCAUCUAAUACUCGUUCUGCUUGAAUCCAUUCCUCGUUUUUAGUUCUAGAAUUUCUCAUCCCGCUCACUUUCACGAUGUCAGGUCCUACUUGUCAGUCCUUUCCGUGACUCCUUGGAGGGAGGUGCCUUCGCAGGACACUGGCAGGGCACCAAAGUGCAACGACAAGACUCCCGAUGUCAGAGAUCCGACGGGAGUCUGUGACGCGGAACCGACAGAGCUACUUGGUUAUUUCUGAACGUAACAUUCAGAGAGAACUGCGGUUAUGACUGGUGAUGCUAUCCAAGAUAUUCUAGGUGUGUGGGGAUCUCAGAACUUGCAGAACAUUAAUAUUUACCGACACAGUGGGUUAUCAUCAUGUAUUUCACAUGCUUUCCAUAGAAUUUAACACAAUCAAAUAAACCUAAUUAGCAGAACAUCAUUCUUUGUGUAAGUGAGAACAAACCUUUGGAGAUGUUCAGGGACCCUCUGGAAAUUCUCAAAACUUAGUUCGAGGUCAGUAAAGGCCUUAUUUAGACUUCGAUUUGGGUAAGUCUGUCGAAAACAUCAACACGUUUGGACACUUGACUACAGAGGGUCACAGACCAUUGUGAGACAGUAGUUAGUGGUUGAUUUAGUCAAAGUGCCAGAAAACAAAGACCUGGUAAGGCACCAGAUCUUGGCUUUCUGGUGGAUUACUUGAAAAGUAAAGAAACUUUUAUCAACUGUUGUCAACAGCAUACCUGAAGUUCAAGAAAACUUUGUUUUUCAGAGCAAAAACCAAUUUUGUGCCACUUACUGUUGAUAUUAAAAUUUAAUUGUAAUCUUA